rnacentral:lncRNA from 1 species
AUGACCGGCGAGCUGGCCGGCAUGGGCUGGUACGGGAUGGUCAUGACUCUCCCCUGCGGGGACUGGGAGAGCGUCUCGAGCAUGACCAGGCAGAUCUGCUUGACACACUCGGUGACCGACUGCGGCACGCCCGCGAUGGUGAUGGCCCGCUCGGUCGAGUUGGGCAGCAUAUCCCCCGCCACCUGCACCUGGGCGCCCGUGCUCUCGCGGAUCUCCUUGAUCUUGCAGCCGCCCUUGCCGAUGAGCGAGCCGCACUGCGUGGCCGGCACCACGAGCCGCAGGGUGACCGGGGGCCUGCUGGCCGCCGUGCUGUUGGUCAUGGAGCUGUUGAUGUCUUCCUCCAGCUUGUCGAUGAUCAUGGCGAAGGCCUUGAAGAUGGCAUUGGUCGGGCCCGUCAGGGUGAUGAUCCGCUCGGGGCAGUUGCCCUCCGAGAUGUUGAUCCGCGCGCCGCUCUCCUCGCGGAUCCUCUUCACCGACUCCCCUUUCUUCCCGAUGAUGCUCCCCACUUCCUUCCCGUGCAUGAGCAGCCGAAUGGUGAGAGUCACGUUGAGUCCGCUCUCAGUCACUCCGGCAUCCAUGGCGAGCGGCGGGCGGCGUUCGGGGGAGUUGGGCUCGUUACGUGGUCAAGGCUCGGCGGCGGCGGCGGCGGGGGGAGGGGGCCGUAGGCCCGGAACGGCCGGCGCGAGGCGAGCGGGGGCCGCGGGGGCGAGCGGGCGCGGGCGGGAGGCCGCGGCGUCGUCCGGGGGCGGGCGGCGGCGGCGGCGGGGGCGAGCGGGGCCGGGAGCGGCGGGCGGGCGGGUGGGCGAGGGCGCGGCGGUGGCGACUCCGGCGGCAGCCUCGGCGGUCUGGGCGGGGCGGGAAGCCCGCUUUCAACCCCGCGUACCCUCUGACCCGGAAGUGCUUGCCGCGCAGGACCCCUCGAAAAAAAGCGAGGACCCGUCUUUUCUAGGUCACGAGGUUGCGCCGCCUCCGCGCGCCCGCGCUCGGGCCCGCCCCCCGGGCCGCCGCCGGCCGCCGCCGCCGGCCGCCGCGCGCUGCCGGGAGGGCCCGCGGGCGGGCGGGGGGCGGGGGGCGGGCGCCGCGAGCCCGGCGAGGCCGCGACACCGACAUGUGGGUGGCGGGCGCGGGCGGCGCCGGCGCGCGCCGGGACGGGGUCAGUGUGCUCAACGGGGCGACACGUCACUUUCCCGCCUCGGGAAGGGCGUCCGGAGCGGAGCGACACGGGCAGCCCCGGCGGCCACUGCAGGCGCCGCCGGGACGCCGCGGGUUUAA